AACGAACGCUGGCGGCAUGCCUAACACAUGCAAGUCGAACGAGACCUUCGGGUCUAGUGGCGCACGGGUGCGUAACGCGUGGGAACCUGCCCUUAGGUUCGGAAUAACUCCCCGAAAGGGGUGCUAAUACCGGAUAAUGUCUUCGGACCAAAGAUUUAUCGCCUUUGGAUGGGCCCGCGUUGGAUUAGCUAGUUGGUAGGGUAAAAGCCUACCAAGGCGACGAUCCAUAGCUGGUCUGAGAGGAUGAUCAGCCACACUGGGACUGAGGCACGGCCCAGACUCCUACGGAAGGGAGCAGUGGGGAAUAUAGUACAAUGGGCGAAGACCUAACCCAGCAAUGCCGCGUGAGUGAUGAAGGCCUUAGGGUUGUAAAGCUCUUUUACCCGGGAUGAUAGUGACAGUACCGGGAAAAUAAGCACCGGCUAACUCCGUG
rnacentral:rRNA from 1 species